GAUGAACGCUGGCGGCGUGCCUAAUACAUGCAAGUCGAGCGAACGGACGAGAAGCUUGCUCCUCUGACGUUAGCGGCGGACGGGUGAGUAACACGUGGAUAACCUACCUAUAAGACUGGGAUAACUUCGGGAAACCGUAGCUAAUACCGGAUAAUAUUUUGAACCGCAUGGUUCAAUAGUGAAAGACGGUCUUGCUGUCACUUAUAGAUGGAUCCGCGCUGCAUUAGCUAGUUGGUAAGGUAACGGCUUACCAAGGCAACGAUGCAUAGCCGACCUGAGAGGGUGAUCGGCCACACUGGAACUGAGACACGGUCCAGACUCCUACGGGAGGCAGCAGUAGGGAAUCUUCCGCAAUGGGCGAAAGCCUGACGGAGCAACGCCGCGUGAGUGAUGAAGGUCUUCGGAUCGUAAAACUCUGUUAUUAGGGAAGAACAUAUGUGUAAGUAACUGUGCACAUCUUGACGGUACCUAAUCAGAAAGCCACGGCUAACUACGUG
rnacentral:rRNA from 1 species